rnacentral:rRNA from 1 species
UGAGUAAUGUCUGGGAAACUGCCUGAUGGAGGGGGAUAACUACUGGAAACGGUAGCUAAUACCGCAUAACGUCGCAAGACCAAAGAGGGGACCUUCGGGCCUCUUGCCAUCGGAUGUGCCCAGAUGGGAUUAGCUAGUAGGUGGGGUAACGGCUCACCUAGGCGACGAUCCCUAGCUGGUCUGAGAGGAUGACCAGCCACACUGGAACUGAGACACGGUCCAG